rnacentral:rRNA from 1 species
CAGCAGCAGCCGCGGUAAUACCGAGGGUGCGAGCGUUAAUCGGAUUUACUGGGCGUAAAGCGUGCGUAGGCGGCUUCUUAAGUCGGAUGUGAAAUCCCUGAGCUUAACUUAGGAAUUGCAUUCGAUACUGGGAAGCUAGAGUAUGGGAGAGGAUGGUAGAAUUCCAGGUGUAGCGGUGAAAUGCGUAGAGAUCUGGAGGAAUACCGAUGGCGAAGGCAGCCAUCUGGCCUAAUACUGACGCUGAGGUACGAAAGCAUGGGGAGCAAACAGGAUUAGAUACCCCAGUAGUCCCUGUCUCUUAUAC